rnacentral:rRNA from 1 species
GUCGAGAAUCUUUCACAAUGGGGGCAACCCUGAUGGAGCGACGCCGCGUGGAGGAUAAGGUCUUCGGAUUGUAAACUCCUGUCAUGCGUGAACAAGGUUGCUUGGUUAAUACCUGGGCAAAUUGAUGGUAACGCAAGAGGAAGAGACGGCUAACUCUGUGCCAGCAGACGCGGUAAUACAGAGGUCUCAAGCGUUGUUAGGAAUCACUGGGCGUAAAGGGUGCGUAGGUGGCGUGGUAAGUCAGAUGUGAAAGCCCGGGGCUCAACCUCGGAACUGCAUCCGAUACUGCCAUGCUAGAGUACUGGAGAGGUGACUAGAAUUCUCGGUGUAGCAGUGAAAUGCGUAGAUAUCGAGAGGAAUACCAAAGGCGUAGGCAGGUCACUGGACAGUUACUGACACUGAGGCACGAAGGCCAGGGGAGCGAACGGGAUUAGAAACCCCUGUAGUCC